rnacentral:rRNA from 1 species
CAGCCGCCGCGGUAAUACGUAGGUGGCAAGCGUUAUCCGGAAUUAUUGGGCGUAAAGCGCGCGUAGGCGGUUUUUUAAGUCUGAUGUGAAAGCCCACGGCUCAACCGUGGAGGGUCAUUGGAGACUGGAAAACUUGAGUGCAGAAGAGGAAAGUGGAAUUCCAUGUGUAGCGGUGAAAUGCGCAGAGAUAUGGAGGAACACCAGUGGCGAAGGCGACUUUCUGGUCUGUAACUGACGCUGAUGUGCGAAAGCGUGGGGAUCAAACAGGAUUAGAUACCCGCGUAGUCCCUGUCUCUUAUAC